CGACCACCUUGAGCCGGAAAGUUCGUCAAACUCGGUCAUUUAGAGGAAGUAAAAG
rnacentral:rRNA from 1 species